rnacentral:rRNA from 1 species
GAAGGCCCGGUGCAAGCGGGGUACCAGUCACUCAGGCAAAUCCGGGUGGCAAUGGGAAGCCGUGAUGCGGAGCGAAAUACAAGUAGCGAAGUCCGUGAGCCAUGCGUCAAGAAAAGCCGCUAUUGUUUAUACCGUACCCGUACCGUAAACCGACACAGGUGGAUGAGGAGAGAAUCCUAAGGCCGGCGGAAGAAGCAUUGUCAAGGAACUCGGCAAAAUGACCCCGUAACUUCGGGAGAAGGGGUGCCACUGAGAAGUGGCCGCAGAGAAUAGGCUCAAGCAACUGUUUUGCAAAAACACAGGUCUAUGCGAAACCGAAAGGUGAGGUAUAUGGGCUGACGCCUGCCCGGUGCUGGAAGGUUAAGAGGAGAGGUUAGCGCAAGCGAAGCUUUGAAUUUAAGCCCCAGUAAACGGCGGCCGUAACAAUAACGGUCCUAAGGUAGCGAAAUUCCUUGUCGGGUAAGUUCCGACCCGCACGAAAGGCGUAAUGAUUUGAGCGCUGUCUCGACAAUGCAUCCGGUGAAAUUGAGGUACCAGUGAAGAUGCUGGUUACCUGCGCCAGGACGGAAAGACCCCAUGGAGCUUUACUCCAGUUUGGUACUGGGGUCCGGUAUUGCAUGUACAGGAUAGGUGGGAGGCUAGGAAGCAGUAACGCCAGUUGCUGCGGAGCCGCUGUUGGGAUACCACCCUUGCAGUACUGGGCUUCUAACCAGCCGCCGUGAACCGGCGGUGGGACAAUGCCAGACGGGGAGUUUGACUGGGGCGGUCGCCUCCGAAAGGGUAUCGGAGGCGCCCAAAGGUUCCCUCAGAAUGGACGGAAACCAUUCGAAGAGUGCAAAGGCAGAAGGGAGCUUGACUGCGACACCGACGGGUGGAGCAGGUACGUAAGUAGGGCUUAGUGAUCCGGUGGUAUUAAGUGGGAAUGCCAUCGCUCAACGGAUAAAAGCUACCCUGGGAUAACAGGCUUAUCACUCCCAAGAGUUCACAUCGACGGAGUGGUUUGGCACCUCGAUGUCGGCUCAUCGCAUCCUGGGGCUGUAGUAGGUCCCAAGGGUUGGGCUGUUCGCCCAUUAAAGCGGUACGCGAGCUGGGUUCAGAACGUCGUGAGACAGUUCGGUCCCUAUCCGGCGUGGGCGUAGGAUAUCUGAGAGGAGCUGUCCUUAGUACGAGAGGACCGGGAUGGACGGACCGCUGGUGUACCGGUUAGACUGCCAAGUCUACGGCCGGGUAGCCAAGUCCGGAAGGGAUAAACGCUGAAGGCAUCUAAGCGUGAAGCCCCCCUCAAGAUGAGAUGUCCCAUUCGAAAGAAGUAAACCCCCUUGAAGACGACGAGGUAGAUAGGGCAGGGGUGGAAGUGUGGUAACACACGGAGCUGACUGUUACUAAUAGGGUGAGGGCUUGACC